rnacentral:rRNA from 1 species
UACGGAGGGAGCUAGCGUUGUUCGGAAUUCCUGGGCGUAAAGCGCACGUAGGCGGCUUUGUAAGUUAGAGGGGAAAGCCCGGAGCUCAACUCCGGAAUUGCCUUUAAGACUGCAUCGCUUGAAUCCAGGAGAGGUGAGUGGAAUUCCGAGUGUAGAGGUGAAAUUCGUAGAUAUUCGGAAGAACACCAGUGGCGAAGGCGGCUCACUGGACUGGUAUUGACGCUGAGGUGCGAAAGCGUGGGGAGCAAACAGG